UACAGAGGUCCCAAGCGUUGUUCGGAUUCACUGGGCGUAAAGGGUGCGUAGGCGGUUGGGUAAGUCUGACGUGAAAUCUCCGGGCCUAACCCGGAAACUGCGUUGGAUACUAUCCGGCUAGAGGAAUGGAGGGGAGACUGGAAUACUUGGUGUAGCAGUGAAAUGCGUAGAUAUCAAGUGGAACACCAGUGGCGAAGGCGAGUCUCUAGACAUUUCCUGACGCUGAGGCACGAAAGCCAGGGGAGCAAACGGG
rnacentral:rRNA from 1 species